GGGCGCGCCCGGAAAUGACGACAGAAGUGGUGGGCGGGGACCCAAGAUGGCGGCCGUGGUGCUGGCGGCAACGCGGCUGCUGAGGGGCCCGGGCUCCUGGGGCGGCGCGCGGCUGAGGUUCGGAGCCCCUGCCUGCAGACAGUUCAGUAGUGGCGGUGCCUAUCCCAGCAUCCCCCUCUCUUCGCCCUUACCCGGAGUCCCCACGCCCGUGUUUGCUACAGUCGAUGGACAGGAAAAGUUUGAAACCAAAAUUACCACACUGGAUAAUGGGCUUCGCGUGGCGUCCCAAAAUAAGUUUGGACAGUUUUGUACGGUAGGAAUUCUUAUUAAUUCAGGAUCAAGAUAUGAAGCAAAAUAUCUUAGUGGAAUUGCUCACUUUUUGGAAAAAUUGGCAUUUUCGUCUACUGACCGAUUUGACAGCAAGGAUGAAAUCUUGCUCACCCUGGAAAAGCAUGGAGGUAUUUGUGACUGCCAGACGUCGAGAGACACCACCAUGUAUGCUGUGUCUGCUGAUUCUAAAGGCCUGGACACGGUGGUUGGCUUGCUAGCUGACGUGGUCCUGCACCCCAGGCUAACAGAUGAAGAACUUGAGAUGACUCGAAUGGCUGUCCAGUUUGAGCUGGAGGACCUCAAUAUGCGCCCUGACCCAGAACCGCUUCUCACAGAGAUGAUUCACGAGGCUGCUUACAGGGGGAACACAGUGGGCCUCCACCGUUUCUGCCCCACAGAAAAUGUCGCCAAGAUUGAUCGAGAAGUACUUCAUUCCUACCUGAGAAACUACUACACACCAGACCGCAUGGUGCUGGCUGCGGUGGGGGUGGAGCACAGCCACCUGGUGGAAUGCGCCAGAAAGUACCUCCUGGGAACCCGCCCGGCCUGGGGAAGUGGGAAGGCCGUGGACGUGGAUAGAUCCGUAGCACAGUACACCGGGGGGAUCGUCAAGCUAGAGAGAGAUAUGUCCAACGUCAGCCUGGGCCCUGCCCCGUUCCCCGAGCUCACGCACAUCAUGAUAGGGCUGGAGAGCUGCUCCUUCCUGGAGGGAGACUUCAUCCCCUUCGCCGUGCUGAACAUGAUGAUGGGAGGUGGCGGCUCCUUCUCGGCCGGCGGGCCCGGCAAGGGCAUGUUUACCAGGCUCUACCUCAACGUGCUCAACAGGCACCACUGGAUGUACAACGCAACCUCCUACCACCACAGCUACGAGGACACGGGCCUCCUGUGCAUUCACGCCAGUGCUGACCCCAGACAGGUUCGGGAGAUGGUGGAAAUCAUCACGAAGGAAUUCAUCCUGAUGGCUGGAACCGUGGAUGAGGUGGAGCUGGAGCGAGCCAAGACGCAGCUGAUGUCCAUGCUCAUGAUGAACCUGGAGUCCAGGCCUGUGAUCUUUGAGGACGUCGGGAGGCAGGUGCUGGCGACCUGUUCCAGAAAGCUGCCCCAGGAGCUGUGCGCGCUCAUCCGCAACGUGAAGCCAGAAGACAUCAAGAGAGUUGCUUCUCAGAUGCUCCGCAGGAAGCCUGCCGUGGCUGCGCUGGGCGAUUUGACGGACCUGCCGACGUACGAGCACGUCCAGGCGGCGCUGUCGAGCAAAGACGGGCGGCUGCCCCGGACGUACCGGCUCUUCCGCUAGAGGCCCUCCAGGGCUGACGCAGCUGAGAGCCGUACCCAGAGCACAUUUUAUACUGUUUUUUUGGAUGUGAAUUUAGUCACAUAAAUUCAUAAAGGGUGCAAACUAUGGGACUCUUCUCUUACACGUGAACAAAUGCCGUGUCGUCAGAGCACGGCUCAGUUCCUGUUACUUCAGGGCUGGAUUUGCCAGUCAGUGGGAUAAAGAUUUACUUUCAACCCAGCCAGGACCCAGGUGGAGUGCAGACAGCUCAGAGCAGCUGGCUGUAGUAACACCAGGGCGGCAGUCACACUCUCGUGAGUUUCAGCAGGUGGGGUCACCGCGGGUCCCCUGAGGCUAGUGGUCUCAUCACAGAGGCUGGUGGGCCUGUCAGCCCUGCCCAGCUUCCUGGAAGGCUUGUGCCACCCAGGCUCACCUGCUUCCCAAGAUGGUCACCAAACCCCUUGGCGGGUCCCGGGGGAGGCGAGAGCUCGUGUCGGUUUCAGGAGCGCAGCCAGCACCCGGGCCUUCUGCAUCACUGUGGCGGUCACACAGCAGUGUGUCCCUCCCGCUCGCCUGCGGGAGCCUUGUUGAGGGCUGUCUCCACCACAGCCCUCCUACACAGAGAUGAUGGCUCCAGGCGGGCGAGCAGGCCCCUUCUCCCUGAGCGUCGUCCAGUUUGACCCAGUGUUGUGAGGCCUCUUGCCCUGGAAUGGAGACACAUUCUGAUUUCUGAGGGCCUCUUGUCAUCUGCCUCUGCAACAUGUGUUCCAGCCUCAGCGACUGCAUUUGUCCCGGGCCCUGCACCGCUCUCCGCACACCCCUUACAGCCCAGUCCACUGGGGGCGGAGCAAGGGAGGUGGGCCGGAGGCAAAUGGCAGGUGGUCCAGCAGUGCAUUGCCAGGUGUCAUGUUUCCUGUGGUGACCACACUGGGAAAGGGACCUGGCGGUAGACAGGUCAGAAGUUUGGCUGCACAGCAAAUGUGCAUUAAGGUGGGGACGUAGCUCAUAAAGAGAUGAGGGGGUGAACCUCACCUUGGCCUUCAAAGCUCAUGCAGACCUGGAGUUGAACUUCUGACCACCCAGCAGCUUUAGGAACAUUCUAGAAACUGCUACUAACCAGACAGGUGUCUGUUUUGGAAGCUGGCAUUAACAUAAGUUUUCUUUAUUUCCCUGCUGGCCGCCUCCCUUGCCCCCUCCUCCAUCCCUCUCUCGAUACCCGCCCCCAGACCUCUCCCUCCCUCCUGCCCCUUUACCCAGAGGUCGCUCUCGGGGCCUUCCCUGGCCCCCUUUCAGCCCCCAACCCAUCUUCCUCCAUCUGCUUUGUCAUCUUUGUCGUCAUCUCCCUGGACGGGCUGGCUGGGCCACAGCCCCCAUGCCCCUGGGCUGUGCAGAGCUGGCCUCUGGAGGCCCCGGCAGGCACUUGCUGGAGGAGUGACAGGAAGGAUGCAUGUCUGAGAAUGACUAGAGCCAAAUUUAAAAACCACCCUCACGCCGGGUCACGUUCACAAAUCUUUAUGAAGUUGCUUGUCCAGACUGGCCAAUUUCAUCCGCAUUAACUUGCAUUUUAAACUGACUUCCCAAGUGACGGUCCAUUCACCUAACCCUGAAGGCUGGUUUGAAGGCAUUCGCUGAACUUCAGACCCACGAUCCUCUUGGACGGAUGUGAUUCCCCAGAGACGGGGAGCUUGGUCUCGGGCCAAACUAACAGACCCCGGGGUCUCACUGAAAUCUCUUUUCCAUGGUUUGGGUCAGAGAAAAUGCCUGGAAGGAAUUCUUAAAAUCUUACUCAUUUCAAGCCUCAUCACAAAAAUCUUUCUAACAGAGAUUUUCAGUUAAUUGACUUGAAACUCGACGGCAUGUUCAUUUGAGCAGAAUUUCAUACAUACAGACAAUCUGAAUAGUUUCCUGAAAUUAGAUGGGAUUGGCUAUGCCUUCUCAUUCUGGAAUUUCUGCCACUUGAAUCAAAAGGUUGGGUGUGUAUUGCUUUAAAACUUAAAUUCCAUAUUUUGGAAGCAGCUGCUAAUAAAAGUCUGACACACCAUUCUUUGACUUGACUUAUCAUUUCAUCACGAUUCACUCAGGUCUGAAGUUUCACUUCUCCCGGAGGCCCCUUUG